rnacentral:lncRNA from 1 species
AUGUGUCACCAUGCCUGGUUGAUACGAAACCUUCACAGACUAGGACAUAGAGACAUUGUUAGAAGACAGUUGGAGACCUUGUGCAGGUGUGUUGGGAAGAACAUGCCUUGCCUACCCACAGAGAAUAACUCAUAUGAAUUUGAGAAGCCAAUUGAAGAAUGCUGUGACAGAAUUAAGCGACACCCUUGCCCUGCUGUUCAGCAGGGUCCUUGCUGCUCUCCCAGCUGUAGAAGGUAUCUUCCUUCGCCACAUCCUCAUCGUAUAGAGCCUCAAAGAACAUCCGAAGCGGGUUGGCAGGUCAUUCUAAGGUCACUUCUCACUACAAGGGCCUGGAGAGCAUUAGAGUGCUCAUAGCUCCUCCUGCUCACCACACAGGUAUUUCCGCAGCCGUCUUGCGCCCACUUUCAACACUUGAACAUCCCCUCGGAGAGGAGUCUCAGCUCUCUCCAGUCAAACCCACGCUGAUUACUGCCGCAGUCCUUCAGCUGCUUCUCUGGCUGCUGAAGGGGAGCGCCCUCUGCCCAAGACCUUCAGAUUCUUCUCCCAAGGUCUAUUCCACCUUCUUUUCAGCCACAAAUGAGCCAAUGAGUCUUGGCCCUCUGCUAGAAAUUCUCUCCAGCUCACCCCAGCCUCUUGCCACUGCAUCCCCACCUUUUUGGGACCCCAUGCUCUUGCAUAAGAGACCCAGGAUCUCCAGCAACAAAGAAGACAGUGUCUGAAGACAGCGACAGUGUACUCACAUACAUGAAAUAAAUAAAUAGGGGGGGGGGGGGGGGGAGGAAGU